rnacentral:rRNA from 1 species
UGCCAGCCGCCGCGGUAAUACGGAGGGGGCAAGCGUUGUUCGGAAUUACUGGGCGUAAAGGGCGUGUAGGCGGCGGUUUUAGUCAGGCGUGAAAGCCCGAGGCUCAACCUCGGAAUAGCGCUUGAUACUGAACUGCUUGAAACCGGAAGAGGGUAGUGGAAUUCCCAGUGUAGAGGUGAAAUUCGUAGAUAUCUGGAGGAACAUCAGUGGCGAAGGCGGCUCCCUGGCCAAAGACUGACGCUCAUGUGCGAAAGUGUGGGUAGCGAACAGGAUUAGAUA